CAACCGUCAAGCCUGGCUUGGUGUUGGACGUCGGGCGUCGAGCGCGUGUCCUAAAGACAGUGGCGGUGUCGAUUCAGUCCUCGGUGCAACGAGCUCCACGAGCACGCACCGGAGGGGCCAUCGGCGCCCGCCUAGACCCCCUAAUUUUCUCAGGUUGACCUCGGAUCAGGUAGGAAUACCCGCUGAACUUAAGCAUAUCAAUAAGCGGAGGAAAAGAAACCAACAGGGAUUGCCUCAGUAACGGCGAGUGAAGCGGCAACAGCUCAAAUUUGAAAUCUGGCCUCGCGGCCCGAGUUGUAAUUUGUAGAGGAUGUUUCGGGUACCGCCGCGGUUUAAAUUUCUCGGAACAGAAUGUCAUAGAGGGUGAGAAUCCCGUCUUGGACCGCCGGUAGGGCCCGUGUGAAACUCCUUCGACGAGUCGAGUUGUUUGGGAAUGCAGCUCAAAAUGGGUGGUAAAUUUCAUCUAAAGCUAAAUACUGGCCAGAGACCGAUAGCGCGCAAGUAGAGUGAUCGAAAGAUGAAAAGCAC
rnacentral:rRNA from 1 species